UCCUACGGGAGGCAGCAGUGGGGAAUAUUGGACAAUGGGGGAAACCCUGAUCCAGCCAUGCCGCGUGAGGGAUGAAGGCCUUAGGGUUGUAAAGCUCUUUCAGCAGGGAAGAUAAUGACGGUACCUGCAGAAGAAGCCCCGGCUAACUCCGUGCCAGCAGCCGCGGUAAUACGGAGGGGGCUAGCGUUGUUCGGAAUUACUGGGCGUAAAGCGCGCGUAGGCGGCGAUACAAGUUGGGGGUGAAAGCCCGGGGCUCAACCUCGGAACUGCCCUCAAAACUGUAUUGCUAGAAUCCUGGAGAGGUGAGUGGAAUUCCUAGUGUAGAGGUGAAAUUCGUAGAUAUUAGGAAGAACACCAGUGGCGAAGGCGGCUCACUGGACAGGUAUUGACGCUGAGGUGCGAAAGCGUGGGGAGCGAACAGGAUUAGAUACCCUGGUAGUCCACGCCGUAAACGAUGGAUGCUAGGUGUUGGGCAGCAUGCUGUUCAGUGCCGCAGCUAACGCAUUAAGCAUCCCGCCUGGGGAGUACGGUCGCAAGAUUAAAACUCAAAUGAAUUGACGG
rnacentral:rRNA from 1 species